UACGUAGGGUCCGAGCGUUGUCCGGAAUUACUGGGCGUAAAGAGCUCGUAGGCGGUCUGUCACGUCGGCUGUGAAAACCCGGGGCUCAACCCCGGGCCUGCAGUCGAUACGGGCAGACUAGAGUGCGGUAGGGGAGACUGGAAUUCCUGGUGUAGCGGUGAAAUGCGCAGAUAUCAGGAGGAACACCGGUGGCGAAGGCGGGUCUCUGGGCCGUAACUGACGCUGAGGAGCGAAAGCGUGGGGAGCGAACAGG
rnacentral:rRNA from 1 species